rnacentral:rRNA from 1 species
AAAUUAAAUUAUUACUAGUUAAAUAAAUAUAGUAGUAUAAUAAUAAAAAUAAUUUUAUGUAUUAAUUUUAAGUAUAUUUUAUAAAAAAAAUAAUUUUAGUAAUAGUGAAUUAGUAUAGUAAUAGAAGUAUGAAAUAAGAUGUUAUUUAAGUGAAAGUAGUUUUUAUUUAAUGUACCUUUUGUAUCAGGGUUUAUUAAAUAAAUUUUAUUUAUAAUAAAUUUUCUCGAAUUUUAAAGAGUUAAAAUAAUAUGAAAUUUAAUGUGUUAUAAUUAUAUUAAAUAUUAUUUUUGUAAUGAAAAGUUAGUCGGUUUAAAAUAUAUCUAGUUUUUUAAGAAAUAAAUUUAAUUUAGAUAUAAAUAUUAUUUUAUUAUUAAUUAAUAGUAAUAGUAGAUUUAUUUAUAUUAAUAUAUUUGGGGAUAAGCUUAAAUAUAUUUAUUUUUAUAAAUAAUAAAUAUAAAAUAAAAGUAAUAGGAUUAGAAAUUUUCAUUUAUAAAUAAAAUGUUAUAAUUAAUUUAUUUUAUAAAAUAAUUUAUUUAAUUUUAAAUUUUAUAUUAAAAUAAUUAUAUUAAUAAUAAAUAUAAUGUAAUAAUGAUAUAAUUAGUAUUAAUUUAUUUAUAAAUAAAAAAUAUUUAUAAAGAUAAAAAUAAGGAAUUCAGCAAUAUAUAUAUAUAAUACUCACCUGUUUAUCAAAAACAUGUCUUUUUGUAAAAAAUAUAAAGUCUAACCUGCCCACUGAUUAAUUGAAGGGCCGCAGUAUUUUGACUGUGCAAAGGUAGCAUAAUCAUUUGUCUUUUAAUUAAAGACUAGAAUGAAUGGUUGAAUGAAGUAUUAACUGUCUCAUUUUUAAAAUAAUAAAAAUUUAUUUUUUUAGUUAAAAAACUAAAAUAAAUUUAAAAGACGAGAAGACCCUAUAGAUCUUUAUAAAUAAUAUUUAUAUAUAAAGUGGAAUAAUAAUUAUUAUAUAAAAUAUAUUUAUUUUAUUGGGGUGAUAGGAAAAUUUAAUAAACUUUUUUUAUAUUUAUAAACAAUGAUUUUUGAAUAAUUGAUCCAUUAUUAUUGAUUAAAAAUUUAAGUUACCUUAGGGAUAACAGCGUAAUUUUUUUUGAGAGUUCAUAUCGAAAAAUAAGUUUGCGACCUCGAUGUUGAAUUAAAGGUAAUUUUUAGAUGUAGCAGUUUAAAUUUUAGGUCUGUUCGACCUUUAGAUCUUUACAUGAUUUGAGUUCAGACCGGUGUAAGCCAGGUCGGUUUCUAUCUUUAAAAGAAUAAUAUAUUUUAGUACGAAAGGACCAAAUAUAGAAAAUAUUUUUUAAAAUAAAUAAAAGAAUAUUAUUAAAUAA